rnacentral:misc_RNA from 1 species
UGGAGGGGCUCUGCUUACUGGA